rnacentral:rRNA from 1 species
CUACGGGCCGCACCAGUGAGGAAUUUUGCGCAAUGGGGGAAACCCUGACGCAGCAACGUCGCGUGAGUGAUGAAGGCCUUCGGGUCGUAAAGCUCUGUCAAGUGGGAAGAACCUACCUAUGGGUAAUAUUCAUGGGUACUGACGGUACCACUGAAGGAAGCACCGGCUAACUCCGUGCCAGCAGCCGCGGUAAUACGGGGGUGCAAGCGUUAUUCGGAAUUAUUGGGCGUAAAGGGCGCGUAGGCGGUCUUGUUAGUCAGAUGUGAAAGCCCGGGGCUCAACCCCGGAAGUGCAUUUGAUACUGCAAGACUUGAGUAUGGGAGAGGGAAGUGGAAUUCCUGGUGUAGAGGUGAAAUUCGUAGAUAUCAGGAGGAACAUCUGUGGCGAAGGCGACUUCCUGGACCAAUACUGACGCUGAGGCGCGAAGGCGUGGGUAGCAAACAGGAUUAGAUACCCUAGUAGUC